rnacentral:snRNA from 1 species
AUGGCAACUUGUGUAAGGAUGACACGCAAAUGCAUGAAGUAUUCCAUAUU